rnacentral:misc_RNA from 1 species
AGAGGACAAAGGAGAAGAAGAAGAAGAGUUUGGACCCAUCAUGAAGUUUGAUGAGGUGAUUAAAGAGGUAGAGGCUCGAGGAGCAAGUCUCCCGUCUGAUAUAUUAGAGGCAGCCAAGAGUGUAGGAGUUCGCAAAUUGCUUCUGCUAAGAUAUCUGGAUUUGCAGGGGUCAGGUGGGCUUUUGGGUUUUGCGAUGAAAUCAUGCUCUAUGCUUCGAAACAGAAUG